rnacentral:rRNA from 1 species
GUGAGGAAUAUUGGGCAAUGCCCGCAAGGGUGACCCAGCAACGCCGCGUGGAGGAUGAAUGCCGUAAGGUUGUAAACUCCUUUUGGAGGGGACGAAAAAAUAAGUUGGUAGCUUAUAUUGACUGUACCCUCAGAAAAAGCCCCGGCUAACUACGUGCCAGCAGCCGCGGUAAUACGUAGGGGGCCAGCGUUGUCCGGAUUUACUGGGUGUAAAGGGCGCGUAGGCGGACUUGUAAGUCAGAGGUGAAAUCCUGCAGCUUAACUGCAGAACUGCCUCUGAUACUGCUAGUCUUGAGUGUGGAAGAGAGAGAUGGAAUUCCAGGUGUAGUGGUGAAAUACGUAGAUAUCUGGAAGAACACCAGUGGCGAAGGCGAUCUCUUGGUCCAUUACUGACGCUGAGGCGCGAAAGCGUGGGGAGCAAACAGGAUUAGAUACCCUAGUAGUCC